rnacentral:rRNA from 1 species
AACAUGUCUUUUUGUUAAUAAUUUAAAGUYUGAUCUGCUCAAUGAAUUAAUUUAAAUAGCUGCGGUAUACUGACCGUACAAAGGUAGCAUAAUCAAUAGUUUUUUAAUUAAAAGCUGGAAUGAAUGAUUUGAUGAGAUAUAAGCUGUCUCAAUUUUAAUAAUAUUAAAAUUUUUUUUUUAGUAAAAAUACUAAAUUGAAUUUAAAAGACGAGAAGACCCUAUAGAUUUUUAUAUUAAUAUAAUUUGAGAUUUAUAUAUUUUAAAUAAUUUAUUUUAUAUUAAUAUUUGGUUGGGGAGAUUAUUGAAUUAAAUUAACUUUGAUUUUAUGAAACUAUAAUUAUAGGAUUAUUAAUUUUUUAUUUGUAAAUAAUUUAAAUUAAAAUACCUUAGGGAUAACAGCGUAAUUUUUUUUGAGAGAUCUUAUUGAUAAAAAAGUUUGCGACCUCGAUGUUGAAUUAAGAUAAAAUUUUGAAGGAGAAUUUAAAUAUUUUUAGUCUGUUCGACUAUUAAAAUCUUACGUGAUCUGAGUUC